GCAUAUCAAUAAGCGGAGGAAAAGAAACCAACAGGGAUUGCCUUAGUAACGGCGAGUGAAGCGGCAACAGCUCAAAUUUGAAAUCUGGCUCUUUCAGAGUCCGAGUUGUAAUUUGCAGAGGGCGCUUUGGCUUUGGCAGCGGUCCAAGUUCCUUGGAACAGGACGUCACAGAGGGUGAGAAUCCCGUACGUGGUCGCUAGCUAUUGCCGUGUAAAGCCCCUUCGACGAGUCGAGUUGUUUGGGAAUGCAGCUCUAAAUGGGAGGUAAAUUUCUUCUAAAGCUAAAUAUUGGCCAGAGACCGAUAGCGCACAAGUAGAGUGAUCGAAAGAUGAAAAGCACUUUGGAAAGAGAGUCAAACAGCACGUGAAAUUGUUGAAAGGGAAGCGCUUGCAGCCAGACUUGCUUGCAGUUGCUCAUCCGGGCUUUUGCCCGGUGCACUCUUCUGCAGGCAGGCCAGCAUCAGUUUGGGCGGUGGGAUAAAGGUCUCUGACACGUUCCUUCCUUCGGGUUGGCCAUAUAGGGGAGACGUCAUACCACCAGCCUGGACUGAGGUCCGCGCAUCUGCUAGGAUGCUGGCGUAAUGGCUGUAAGCGGCCCGUCUUGAAACACGGACCAAGGAGUCUAACAUCUAUGCGAGUGUUUGGGUGUCAAGCCCGAGCGCGUAAUGAAAGUGAACGGAGGUGGGAACCCGCAAGGGCGCACCAUCGACCGAUCCUGAAGUUUACGGAAGGAUUUGAGUAAGAGCAUGGCUGUUGGGACCCGAAAGAUGGUGAACUAUGCUUGAAUAGGGUGAAGCCAGAGGAAACUCUGGUGGAGGCUCGCAGCGGUUCUGACGUGCAAAUCGAUCGUCAAAUUUGGGCAUAGGGGCGAAAGACUAAUCGAACUAUCUAGUAGCUGGUUCCUGCCGAA
rnacentral:rRNA from 1 species